rnacentral:rRNA from 2 species
CCAAGGGAAUGCCUUAGUAGCGGCGAGUGAAGCGGCAAAAGCUCAAAUUUGAAAUCUGGCUCUUUCAGAGUCCGAGUUGUAAUUUGAAGAAGGUAUCUUUGGGUCUGGCUCUUGUCUAUGUUUCUUGGAACAGAACGUCACAGAGGGUGAGAAUCCCGUGCGAUGAGAUGAUCCAGGCCUAUGUAAAGUUCCUUCGAAGAGUCGAGUUGUUUGGGAAUGCAGCUCUAAGUGGGUGGUAAAUUCCAUCUAAAGCUAAAUAUUGGCGAGAGACCGAUAGCGAACAAGUACAGUGAUGGAAAGAUGAAAAGAACUUUGAAAAGAGAGUGAAAAAGUACGUGAAAUUGUUGAAAGGGAAGGGCUUGAGAUCAGACUUGGUAUUUUGUAUGUUACUUCUUCGGGGGUGGCCUCUACAGUUUAUCGGGCCAGCAUCAGUUUGGGCGGUAGGAGAAUUGCGUUGGAAUGUGGCACGGCUUCGGUUGUGUGUUAUAGCCUUCGUCGAUACUGCCAGCCUAGACUGAGGACUGCGGUUUAUACCUAGGAUGUUGGCAUAAUGAUCUUAAGUCGCCCGUCUUGAACACCGGAACCAA